GGGGAAUAUUGACAAUGGGGGAAACCCUGAUGCAGCGACGCCGCGUGAGUGAAGAAGUAUUUCGGUAUGUAAAGCUCUAUCAGCAGGGGAAGAUAAUGACGGUACCUGAGUAAGAAGCCCCGGCUAACUAC
rnacentral:rRNA from 1 species